rnacentral:misc_RNA from 1 species
CAGAUGUGUAUAAGAGACAGGUGAGUCAUCGAAUCUUUGAACGCACAUUGCGCCCUGUGGUAUUCCGCAGGGCAUGCCUGUUCGAGCGUCAGUACAACACUCAAGCCUAGCUUGGUCUUGGGCGUCACCAGUAAUGGUGUGCCUUAAAAUUAGUGGCGGCGCCUGUGAGGCUCUAAGCGUAGUAAUACUCCUCGCUUCAGGGACCCUUAUAGGAGCUGGCCAGCAACCCCCAACUUUCUAAGUUUGACCUCGGAUCAGGUAGGGAUACCCGCUGAACUUAAGCAUAUCAAUAAGCGGAGG